GGCAAACUCGCGACUUUCCUGACCAAGUCCUCCCCACCACUAAACUAACCAGCCCGGCCACGUCCCCGCCUUCUCUCUCCUGGUUCCGGCGCCCCCACUCCCACCACACCACGCCAGCCAUGAGAAAUUUCGCCGCCCCAGCAAGCAGCUCAGCGUCGUCGCCCGGUGUCAACCAUGACAUGAUCCACCUCCCGCGCGUGCGUCCCCAUAUAUACAUGCGAGAGCGCACGCGCUCACACCUCCCCUCACCAACCCACAAAUCCCGAGUCCCAACUCAACUAGUUUGGCGAUCAGCUCCCAGUCGAUCAAGCAGCUGUCUAGGGAUCUCACCGGCGGCUUUAGUCGUUAUUAGGGCCUUCUUCGUAAACUUACCCGCCGACAAGGCCGAGACUGGCCGUGGCCGGCCGGCUACAUAUAUACGCCGGAGACUGUCAUGGCUGACGGGCUGCCUCCGGGGUACCGUUUCUACCCGACGGAGGAGGAGCUUAUAUGCUUCUACCUGCGCAACAAGCUCGACGGCAGCCGCGGCGACAUCGAGCGCGUCAUCCCCGUCGUCGACGUCUACUCCGUCGACCCCUUGCAGCUCUCAGGUAGAACCAUCGAUCAUAUACGGAUUCCUACGUACGUACAGUGCGUUGCGUCAUCCUGCCUCUCACCUGCGCACAUACGCAGAGAUCCACGAGAGGCUGUGCGGCGGCGAGGGGGAGCCGUGGUUCUACUUCUGCGCGCGGCAGGAGCGGGAGGCGCGGGGCGGGCGGCCCAGCCGCACCACGCCGUCGGGGUACUGGAAGGCGGCGGGCACGCCCGGGGUCGUCUACUCCGCCGACCGCCGGCCCAUCGGGCUGAGGAAGACCAUGGUGUUCUACCGCGGCCGCGCGCCGUCCGGGACCAAGACCAAGUGGAAAAUGAACGAGUACAGGGCAUUCCAGCACGAGCACCACGACGACGGCGCCGGCGCACCCACGGCAACCGGGGGUCCCCACGCCGCUGCGCCACCGGUACCGAACCUCCCUCCGCAGCUGAGAAGCGAGUUCAGCUUGUGUCGACUUUACACCAAAUCGGGGACACUGCGGCAGUUCGAUCGACGGCCGGUUGCAGCUGCUGCACGCGGUGACAUUCCUGGGCCAUCCACGGCAGCCACUGCGUCGCCCGGCGACGGUGACGGCUCCGGUGGAUCCAUGCAGCCGCUUGAGGAGGAGCUGAUGGAGGGAGCUGACGGUGAUCCAUACGGAGACGAUAUUGCCACAUUGGCUGCUCUUCUCUACUCGCCUACGGACUAGAUUAUGCAUUCGUUUCGCAGAUCGAAUCUUGAGUAGUUUCGUCUCCAUUGAUAGAUUAUGCUCUAUCUAAAUCUGUAAAACAUAAAAUUCUGGACAAAAAAUGGUCUAUGAAUUUGAGCACUAGCUAGUUUGUACUGUGAAACUGUAACAGGGAAAAGGGGG
rnacentral:rRNA from 1 species